rnacentral:rRNA from 1 species
GAGUUUGAUCCUGGCUCAGGACGAACGCUGGCGGCGUGCCUAAUGCAUGCAAGUCGAACGCAGCAGGCGUGCCUGGCUGCGUGGCGAACGGCUGAGGAACACGUGGGUAACCUGCCCCGGAGUGGGGGAUACCCCGUCGAAAGACGGGACAAUCCCGCAUACGCUCUUUGGAGGAAAGCCAUCCGGCGCUCUGGGAGGGGCCUGCGGCCCAUCAGGUAGUUGGUGUGGUAACGGCGCACCAAGCCAAUGACGGGUACCCGGUCUGAGAGGACGACCGGGCAGACUGGGACUGCGACACGGCCCAGACUCCUACGGGAGGCAGCAGCAAGGAAUUUUCCCCAAUGGGCGCAAGCCUGAGGGAGCAACGCCGCGUGGAGGACGACGGCCUUCGGGUUGUAAACUCCUUUCGGGUGGGACGAAGCUGACGGUACCACCAGAAGCAGCCCCGGCUAACUCUGUGCCAGCAGCCGCGGUAAGACAGAGGGGGCAAGCGUUGUCCGGAGUUACUGGGCGUAAAGGGCGCGCAGGCGGUGGGGUGCGUCGGCGCUGAAAGCGCCCCGCUUAACGGGGCGAGGUGCGCCGAUACGAGUCCACUCGAGGCAAGCAGAGGGUGGCGGAAUUCCGGGUGGAGCGGUGAAAUGCGUAGAGAUCCGGAGGAACGCCGGUGGGGAAGCCGGCCACCUGGGCUUGACCUGACGCUGCGGCGCGACAGCGUGGGGAGCAAACCGGAUUAGAUACCCGGGUAGUCCACGCCGUAAACGAAGCCG